rnacentral:rRNA from 1 species
GGUGUUUACUGUCGAACUGAACACUCUACCGUUUACUGUCUGGUGGUGCUCUUCACCGAGUGUCACCAGUGGUCGGUACGUUUACUUUGAAAAAAUUAGAGUGCUCAAAGCGGUUUUUACACGACCGAAUACUGUUGCAUGGAAUAAUGAAAUAGGACUUUGGUUCUAUUUUGUUGGUCUUCGGAACCAAGGUAAUGAUUAAGAGGGACAGACGGGGGCAUUAGUAUUGCGACGCUAGAGGUGAAAUUCUUGGACCGUCGCAAGACUAACUAAAGCGAAAGCAUUUGCCAAGAAUGUUUUCAUUAAUCAAGAACGAAAGUUAGAGGUUCGAAGGCGAUCAGAUACCGCCCUAGUUCUAACCAUAAACGAUGCCAACCAGCAAUCAGCCUGUGUUCUCUUGAUGACACGGCUGGCGGCUUCCGGGAAACCAAAGUCUUUCGGUUCCAGGGGAAGUAUGGUUGCAAAGCUGAAACUUAAAGGAAUUGACGGAAGGGCACCACCAGGAGUGGAGCCUGCGGCUUAAUUUGACUCAACACGGGGAAACUCACCCGGCCCGGACACUGUGAGGAUUGACAGGGUUGAAGCCCUUUCUUGAUUCAGUGGGUGGUGGUGCAUGGCCCGUUCUUAGUUGGUGGAGUGAUUUGUCUGGUUAAUUCCGAUAACGAACGAGACUCUAGCCUACUAAUUAGACCGUGGCGUCCUCGUGCCGCCACGGCGCUUCCUAGAGGGACAGACGG